UUCACAAGUUAUGGAUGAUAUAUCUCUAGAGCCUAGUCCUCCAAUGGCCCCCAUAGCAGUAGACUCGAUUCCGAAUCCGGAUCGGAGUGAGGGGCAGCCAAGUAUUAUAACACAAAUCAAACAUACACCACACUAAGUCCUUCUGAUUUGCGUAGUAUGGUUCGGGAAUUACCCGAUCUCAAAAGAGAUGACCCGAACAUGGCGUUUUGGGAGAAAAUAGCACAGUACAUGACGGUGGGGGAUUACAUGCUUUCGACGUUUAUGUGUUAACAAAGGCAAAAUGUCCAAGUGCAGUAUGGAGCGAGUAGGGGAAUUUAAUAACUCUGCAUGGGCAUCUGUCCGCUUCACAUCCACGCUUGAGAUGGAGGAAGCAAUGGAAAAUUUCAGGAAGACAGUUUAUCAAGCUCUAGGUACAGGUUCCAAUCUGUAUUCAUUAUAUCUUACCCGCCACCAACGCGAAGAUGAACCUUUUGAUAGGUAUAUUGACGAGAAAUACAGUUUGUACUCCACAUAUGGUAAUGCAGGUGACAAUCCAAGUAAAGAUAACCCCGAUUUCCUGAUGAAUGUACUCGAGGGAAGUGUAGCUUUAUACCGAGAUACAGUGGGUGAGGCUAGUUUUCGACCGAAGGAUUGUAGCGACUUAAUUUCGUGGGCUGCAUGUUUAAAUAAAUAUCAUAGUGGUGUAAACAAAGGGGGCGCAAGAUCAGGUCUGAGAUCACAUUCUCACAAUAAAGCACCCCUCCACAUGGCUCCGGUACAGGAGAUAGCUCCUUGCAGCAACUGUGGGAGAUCGGGGGAUAGCCAGGCGGACUGUCUCGGAGGGAGAAAGACCCCGUGUAAGCUCUGUCACAGAUAUGGACACGUUGCCCAGGCAUGCAGAUCUGGAAUAACCGGUGCAGAAAAUGUCACAAACUCGGACAUUGGGCACGUGAGUGCGAAUUCAGAAAUGAAGGUCAGUCAGAACGAGGUAGCCAGCUCCAAGACAUGUCAAAAGACGAACUCGUUAGAUUAAUUAAAUCGCUUGAAACCUCAGAAUAGGAUACGUCGGCCCCCAUUGCAUCAGGUGUUGAGGUUUCGUUCAAAUAGCAUAAGGACGUGGACACCACAAGCCCCUAAAUAUUCUUAAUUUAUGAGCCCAAGAUAAGGGAGUAACAGUAAAUAAAUAAAUAAAAAAAGGUAGCACACAUAUGAUUGACCCCUAGUGGCAGAUCCUAACACCAUCCUUUCCACAGUUUCUCAUGUAAAAUACACGCUGAGCAAUGUUGGCUUCAAGCUGACACUGAGGUAAUGGAUCGUUUUUACUUCUCAAAGUAGCACCUUGCAUAAGACUUUUGUUAAUACUGUGGAUGUACCUGUGGGUGAUCUGUGGGGUUGCAACCAAGGCCGUGUAAAUACACCAGAGAUGGAGGCAUAAGGAUUUUAAAAUGGUGUGUGACUUUUGAACUUGUAGGAGACUCCUGACUAGUGCAGUAGCCCCCAAUACAAAAUGGGGGACUGGUACAAGAAAAUAACAUUGGUUAAAAAAAAAAUAUUAAAAAAACAA